CUGGACUGAAGGAUCCAGGCUGGAGACUGGACACUCUCAGUUUCCCAGCAUGCCUUGGCUGUGCUCAUGGAAGUGAAUGAGGGGGAAAGAUCUGUCCUGCUGCCCUGUCAGUGCUCGGAUUUCAUACCUGGUGAUCUCAGAGGACAAAAGCAGCGUUACAGCGGCGCACAUCGAUGAGAGCUGAUGCUCUCAACACUUCAGACCUCCGCCUGUCUCUGAGAAAACCAACAAUGGCUGUCAGCAGCAACUACACCUGCUCCACCAGUGCUGGGAGAGAAGAGCUGAGACUGACAGCUCUUUGUACAGGCCUUCACCUCCUCAUUCAUCCACAGUCUGCCUCCCUCUGCUCCAUCAGCUGACGUCCUCUGUACAACUACCUGCUGUGUGCACG